UACAGAGGUCUCAAGCGUUGUUCGGAUUCAUUGGGCGUAAAGGGUGCGUAGGUGGCGCCGUAAGUCAGGUGUGAAAUUUCGGAGCUUAACUCCGAAACUGCAUUUGAUACUGCGGUGCUUGAGGACUGGAGAGGAAACUGGAAUUUACGGUGUAGCAGUGAAAUGCGUAGAGAUCGUAAGGAAGACCAGUGGCGAAGGCGGGUCUCUGGACAGUUCCUGACGCUGAGGCACGAAGGUCAGGGGAGCAAACGGG
rnacentral:rRNA from 1 species